UACAGAGGUGGCAAGCGUUGUUCGGAAUUACUGGGCGUAAAGGGCGCGUAGGCGGUUCGUUAAGUCCUGUGUGAAAUCCCCCGGCUCAACUGGGGAACUGCACAGGAAACUAGCGGGCUUGAGUUCGGGAGAGGGAAGCGGAAUUCCGGGUGUAGCGGUGAAAUGCGCAGAUAUCAGGAGGAACACCGGUGGCGAAGGCGGGUCUCUGGCCGAUACUGACGCUGAGGAGCGAAAGCCAGGGGAGCGAACGGG
rnacentral:rRNA from 1 species